AAGGCGACGAUCUGUAGCGGGUCUGAGAGGAUGAUCCGCCACACUGGGACUGAGACACGGCCCAGACUCCUACGGGAGGCAGCAGUGGGGAAUAUUGGACAAUGGGGGGAACCCUGAUCCAGCCAUGCCGCGUGUGUGAAGAAGGCCUUUUGUUUGUAAAGCACUUUAAGCGAGGAGGAGGCUUACCUGGUUAAUACCUGGGAUAAGUGGACGUUACUCGCAUAAUAAGCACCGGCUAACUCUGUGCCCCCACCCGCGGUAAUACAGAGGGUGCAAGCGUUAAUCAGAUUUACUGGGCGUAAAGCGCGCGUAGGGGGCUAAUUAAGUCAAAUGUGAAAUCCCCGAGCUUAACUUGGGAAUUGCAUUCGAUCCUGGUUAGCUAGAGUAUGGGAGAGGAUGGUAGAAUUCCAGGUGUAGCGGUGAAAUGCGUAGAGAUCUGGAGGAAUACCGAUGGCGAAGGCAGCCAUCUGGCCUAAUACUGACACUGAGGUGCGAAAGCAUGGGGAGCAAACAGGAUUAGAUACCCUGGUAGUCCAUGCCGUAAACGAUGUCUACUAGCCGUUGGGGCCCUUGAGGCUUUAGUGGCGCAGCUAACGCGAUAAGUAGACCGCCUGGGGAGUACGGUCGCAAGACUAAAACUCAAAUGAAUUGACGGGGGCCCGCACAAGCGGUGGAGCAUGUGGUU
rnacentral:rRNA from 1 species